GAUGAAGAACGUAGCAAAAUGCGAUAAGUAGUGUGAAUUGCAGAAUUCAGUGAAUCAUCGAAUCUUUGAACGCACAUUGCGCCCGCUGGUAUUCCGGCGGGCAUGCCUGUUCGAGCGUCAUUUCAACCCUCAAGCCCCCGGGUUUGGUGUUGGGGAUCGGCUCUGCCCUUCUGGGCGGUGCCGCCCCCGAAAUACAUUGGCGGUCUCGCUGCAGCCUCCAUUGCGUAGUAGCUAACACCUCGCAACUGGAACGCGGCGCGGCCAUGCCGUAAAACCCCAACUUCUGAAUGUUGACCUCGGAUCAGGUAGGAAUACCCGCUGAACUUAAGCAUAUCAAUAAGCGGAGGA
rnacentral:misc_RNA from 1 species